rnacentral:snRNA from 1 species
AUACUCUGGUUUCUUUUCAGCUCGUAUAAAUCUUUCGCCUUUUACUGAAGAUUUCUGUGGAGAGGGGGGGAAAAUUGCAAAUAUAUCCUGUGACUACAUCCCAACAAAUGUG